AUUGAACGCUGGCGGCACGCCUAACACAUGCAAGUCGAGCGGCAGCGAGAGUAGUAGCAAUACUACUUGUCGGCGAGCGGCGGACGGGUGAGGAACACGUAGGAAUCUGCCCUUUAGCGGGGGACAACCAAGGGAAACUUUGGCUAAUACCGCGUAAUCUCGAGAGAGGAAAGCUGCCCGCAAGGGUGGCGCUGAAGGAGGAGCCUGCGUCCGAUUAGCUAGUUGGUGAGGUAAAAGCUCACCAAGGCGAUGAUCGGUAACUGGUCUGAGAGGACGACCAGUCACACUGGGACUGAGACACGGCCCAGACUCCUACGGGAGGCAGCAGUGGGGAAUAUUGGACAAUGGGGGCAACCCUGAUCCAGCGAUGCCGCGUGGGUGAAGAAGGCCUUCGGGUUGUAAAGCCCUUUAGGUUGGGAAGAAGGUUAUGCGGGGAAUAUCCGUGUAGCUUGACGGUACCGACAGAAUAAGCACCGGCAAACUCUGUGCCAGCAGCCGCAGUAA
rnacentral:rRNA from 1 species